rnacentral:rRNA from 1 species
CACGUAGGGGCCAAGCGUUGUCCGGAUUUAUUGGGCGUAAAGAGCUCGUAGGCGGUUUGUCGCGUCGGCUGUGAAAACUCGGGGCUCAGCCCCGAGCCUGCAGUCGAUACGGGCAGACUAGAGUGCUGUAGGGGAGACUGGAAUUCCUGGUGUAGCGGUGAAAUGCGCAGAUAUCAGGAGGAACACCGGUGGCGAAGGCGGGUCUCUGGGCAGUAACUGACGCUGAGGAGCGAAAGCGUGGGGAGCGAACAGG